UUGGUGACAAGCCUUGCUCCGAAGCCCUUGAUGGUGUACAAGAGAGCCCAGGCGAUUCUGGAACCAGAUCUUCACCUGGGUCUCAUUGAGCUGUAGGGACGCGGCAAUCUCCACCCUGCGCGCUCGUGUAAGGGGCCAUAAGGCGCACUGAAGUUCUGCGCGCCAUAGCUUGGACCACAACUCGAGUGGGAAUAAGAAAUCCCAAGGUUUCCAGAAGUCUGGACCAGAGAAGAAAAAUGAUAUGAAUGUACAGUGCGCAAGAGGCGGGGCGGGCAGGCGGAGGGCUCGAGGGGAGGACACGUGACUCUACCAGCCAAUGGCUGAGCCGCCUGCGAAAGUUUACCGGCUGCGGCCGUGAUGGAUCACCGUUUCAGUGGCAUUUAAAUCCCCGGCGCUCCUCAGUGUAGGUGACGCGCGCUCGCCCCCCCAGGCAGCCCGGGCCGCGGCGGUAGCAGCGGCCGCUCCCGGAGCUGACUUGGAGCACUGGGACCAAAGGGAGUCGAGACUGCCUUCUGCGCGCGCCCGGCUUUGCGCGCCUCCGCCACCAGAUGUGGGGGGAUGGGAGGCCCCCUCCGCGGCCCCUUCCCCACCCAGCCCAGAAAGCUGAACUGGCAAGAGGACGAAUCACAUCCAGGAACUGCGCAGCCCUGGCCACAGCCCGGACACCCUGCUCAGAUCUCAGAGCCUGGGGCCUGAAAACCACCACAGUCCCCACAUAUGGAGGCUGCUGAGGGAUUAGGGGAGUAGAGGGUGAAGGGAAGGUAGAGAGCAAACCCCUGAAUAAAGUCCGAGGUUUCAUUGUAAUUCCCAAGCUUUUGCUAUUAAGAACUGGGUUCUUCCAUCAAUCACCGCCCCCCCCCACGCACAUGUUGCUGCAGUUUCUCACGGUCUGUUUUUCCUGAACCCAUCCACAGCUGGGAGAUUAAUCAACCACACUGAAAAUGGGGGUGUGGGGGAGGGAAAGGAAGAGUUGGAACGUAGAUGUUUGAAACAAAUGUGUAUAAAUAAAUGAAUUUUUGAUAACUCCGUUAUUGACCUAGAAACUAGCAGCUUGGUAAGGGAACUCCAUUCCACUCC
rnacentral:lncRNA from 1 species